rnacentral:tRNA from 1 species
GCCCCCGUAGCUCAGAGGAUAGAGCAGUGGUUUCCUAAACCAUGCGCGCAGGUUCGAGUCCUGCCGGGGGUACCA